UACGGGGGGGGCAAGCGUUGUUCGGAAUUACUGGGCGUAAAGGGCUCGUAGGCGGCCAACUAAGUCAGACGUGAAAUCCCUCGGCUUAACCGGGGAACUGCGUCUGAUACUGGAUGGCUUGAGUUUGGGAGAGGGAUGCGGAAUUCCAGGUGUAGCGGUGAAAUGCGCAGAUAUCAGGAAGAACACCCGUGGCGAAGGCGGCUCUCUGGAACGCAACUGACGCUGAGACGCGAAAGCGUGGGGAGCAAACAGG
rnacentral:rRNA from 1 species